UACGAAGGGGGCUAGCGUUGUUCGGAUUUACUGGGCGUAAAGCGCACGUAGGCGGAUCGUUAAGUCGGGGGUGAAAUCCUGGAGCUCAACUCCAGAACUGCCUUCGAUACUGGCGAUCUUGAGUCCGGAAGAGGUGAGUGGAACUCCUAGUGUAGAGGUGGAAUUCGUAGAUAUUAGGAAGAACACCAGUGGCGAAGGCGGCUCUCUGGGACGGUACUGACGCUGAGGAGCGAAAGCGUGGGGAGCGAACAGG
rnacentral:rRNA from 1 species